rnacentral:tRNA from 1 species
GAGGGUACAGCUCAGUGGUAGAGCGCAUGCCUAGCAUGCAUGAGGUCCUGGGUUCAAGCCCCAGUAUCUCCA